GACCACAGCUCCUCCAAUAGAUAUAUGAAUCCCGUACGCCUAUGAGUAUACUACUAUACAUUUGUAUUGCUCUCAUGUGCAUAGAGAGACAAGGUACGAAAUUAGAAUCUAUAAACAAUCAACUUUAAAGGUGAUCUACAGUCCGAUCUGCGCAUGUGCACAAAUGAGCCCACUUUUUAUGAUACAAACAGUUUAACUAUGUUUUGAGUUCUUGAAAAGCCUGAUUGUUG